rnacentral:rRNA from 1 species
CAGUCGCCGCGGUAAUACGUAAGUGGCAAGCGUUGUCCGGAAUUAUUGGGCGUAAAGCGCGUCUAGGUGGUUAUAUAAGUCUGAUGUGAAAAUGCAGGGCUCAACUCUGUAUUGCGUUGGAAACUGUAUAACUAGAGUACUGGAGAGGUAAGCGGAACUACAAGUGUAGAGGUGAAAUUCGUAGAUAUUUGUAGGAAUGCCGAUGGGGAAGCCAGCUUACUGGACAGAUACUGACGCUGAAGCGCGAAAGCGUGGGUAGCAAACAGGAUUAGAUACCCGAGUAGUCCCUGUCUCUUAUACA